GCUGUGGUGGCGCAUGCUUGUAGUCCCAGCUACUCGGAAGGCUGAGGCUGGAGAAUCUUCUGAGUCCAGGAGUUCUGGACUGUAGUGCGCUAUGCCAAUCGGGUGACUGCACUAAGUUGGGUAUCAAUAUGGUGACCUCCUGGGAGCGAGGGACCACCAGGUUGCCUAAGGAGGGGUGAACCGGCCCAGGUUGGAAAUGGAGCAGGUCAAAACUCCCGUGCUAAUCAGCAGCGGGAUCACGUCUGUGAAUAGCCACUGAACUCCAACCUGGGCAACACAGCAAGACCCUGUCUCUA
ensembl:misc_RNA Metazoa_SRP Metazoan signal recognition particle RNA